rnacentral:tRNA from 1 species
GAGGGUAUAGCUCAGGGGUAGAGCUGCAUGCUUAGCAUGCAUGAGGUCCUGGGUUUGAUCUCCAGUACCUCUA